rnacentral:rRNA from 1 species
GACGAACGCUGGCGGCGUGCUUAACACAUGCAAGUCGAACGGUGAAGCGCCUUCCUUUUUGGUGGGUGUGGAUGAGUGGCGAACGGGUGAGUAACACGUUAGUAACCUGCCCCCUUCUUCUGGAUAACCGCAUGAAAGUGUGGCUAAUACGGGAUAUUCUGUGUCUGUCGCAUGAUGGGUCUGGGAAAGAUAUUGUUUCGGUGGGGGAUGGGCUCGCGGCCUAUCAGGUUGGUGGUGGGGUGAUGGCCUAACAAGGCGGUGAGGAGUAGCCGGGAUGGGAGGGUCGGCGGCCACACUGCGAAUGAGCGAUCGACAAGACUACUAGGGGAGGCAGCGGUGAGGAUUAUUGAACAAUGGGAGGAAGGAUGAUGCAGCGCCGCCGCGGGAGAGAUGGCGGCCUGCGGGUUGUGACCCUCUUUCGCGAGUGAAGAACGCCUGCCUCGUUUGUCGGUGGGUUGACGGUAGCUGGAUAAGAAGCGCCGGCUAACUACGUG